rnacentral:lncRNA from 1 species
GAUGGAUGGUGUUUCCAGGUUCCAGGUUGGAUGGUGUUUCCAGGUUCCAGGUUGGAUGGUGUUUCCAGGUUCCAGGUUGGGUGGUGUUUCCAGGUUGGGUGGUGUUUCCAGGUUCCAGGUUGGGUAGUGGUUCCAGGUUGGAUGGUGUUUCCAGGUUGGGUGGUGUUUCCAGGUUCCAGGUUGGGUGGUGGUUCCAGGAUGGAUGGUGUUUCCAGGUUCCAGGUUGGAUGGUGUUUCCAGGUUCCAGGUUGGAUGGUGUUUCCAGGUUAGAUGGUGUUUCCAGGUUCCAGGUUGGGUAGUGUUUCCAGGUUGGAUGGUGUUUCCAGGUUCCAGGUUGGAUGGUGUUUCCAGGUUCCAGGUUGGAUGGUGUUUCCAGGUUCCAGGUUGGAUGGUGUUUUCAGGUUCCAGGUUGGAUGGUGUUUCCAGGUUCCAGGUUGGAUGGUGUUUCCAGGUUCCAGGUUGCAUGGUGUUUUCAGGUUCCAGGUUGGAUGGUGUUUUCAGGUUCCAGGUUGGAUGGUGUUUCCAGGUUCCAGGUUGGAUGGUGUUUCCAGGUUCCUGGUUGGAUGGUGUUUCCAGGUUCCAGGUUGGAUGGUGGUUCCAGGUUCCAGGUUGGGUGGUGGUUCCAGGUUCCAGGUUGGGUGGUGGUUCCAGGUUCCAGGUUGGGUGGUGUUUCCAGGUUCCAGGUUGGGUGGUGUUUCCAGGUUCCAGGUUGGGUGGUGUUUUCAGGUUCCAGGUUGGAUGGUGUUUUCAGGUUCCAGGUUGGAUGGUGUUUCCAGGUUCCAGGUUGGAUGGUGUUUCCAGGUUCCAGGAUGGAUGGUGUUUCCAGGUUCCAGGUUGGAUGGUGUUUCCAGGUUAGAUGGUGUUUCCAGGUUCCAGGUUGGGUGGUGUUUCCAGGUUGGAUGGUGUUUCCAGGUUCCAGGUUGGAUGGUGUUUCCAGGUUCCAGGUUGGAUGGUGUUUCCAGGUUCCAGGUUGCAUGGUGUUUUCAGGUUCCAGGUUGGAUGGUGUUUUCAGGUUCCAGGUUGGAUGGUGUUUCCAGGUUCCAGGUUGGAUGGUGUUUCCAGGUUCCUGGUUGGAUGGUGUUUCCAGGUUCCAGGUUGGAUGGUGGUUCCAGGUUCCAGGUUGGAUGGUGGUUCCAGGUUCCAGGUUGGGUGGUGUUUCCAGGUUCCAGGUUGGGUGGUGGUUCCAGGUUGGAUGGUGUUUCCAGGUUGGAUGGUGUUUCCAGGUUCCAGGUUGGAUGGUGUUUCCAGGUUCCUGGUUGGAUGGUGUUUCCAGGUUCCAGGUUGGAUGGUGGUUCCAGGUUCCAGGUUGGAUGGUGUUUUCAGGUUCCAGGUUAGAUGGUGUUUCCAGGUUCCAGGUUGGGUGGUGUUUCCAGGUUCCAGGUUGGGUGGUGUUUUCAGGUUCCAGGUUGGGUGGUGUUUCCAGGUUCCAGGUUGGGUGGUGGUUCCAGGUUGGGUGGUGGUUCCAGGUUCCAGGUUGGAUGGUGUUUCCAGGUUCCAGGUUGGGUGGUGUUUCCAGGUUCCAGGUUGGGUGGUGUUUUCAGGUUCCAGGUUGGGUGGUGUUUUCAGGUUCCAGGUUGGGUGGUGUUUUCAGGUUCCAGUUUAGGUGGUGUUUUCACGUUCCAGGUUCGGGGGAUGUUUCCAGGUUCCAGGUUGGGUGGUGGUUCCAGGUUCCAGGUUGGAUGGUGUUUCCAGGUUGGAUGGUGUUUUCAGGUUCCAGGUUGGAUGGUGUUUCCAGGUUGGAUGGUGUUUCCAGGUUCCAGGUUGGAUGGUGUUUUCAGGUUCCAGGUUGGAUGGUGUUUCCAGGUUCCAGGUUGGAUGGUGUUUCCAGGUUCCAGGUUGGGUGGUGUUUCCAGGUUCCAGGUUGGGUGGUGGUUCCAGGUUGGAUGGUGGUUCCAGGUUGGAUGGUGGUUCCAGGUUCCAGGUUGGGUGGUGUUUCCAGGUUCCAGGUUGGAUGGUGUUUUCAGGUUCCAGGUUGGAUGAUGUUUUCAGGUUCCAGGUUGGGUGGUGUUUCCAGGUUCCAUGUAGGAGGGUGUUUCCAGGUUCCAGGUUGGAUGGUGUUUCCAGGUUGGGUGGUGUUUCCAGGUUCCAGGUUGGGUGGUGUUUCCAGGUUGGGUGGUGUUUCCAGGUUCCAGGUUGGGUGGUGUUUUCAGGCUCCAGGUUGGGUGGUGUUUCCAGGUUCCAGGUUGGAUGGUGUUUCCAGGUUCCAGGUUGGAUGGUGUUUCCAGGUUCCAGGUAGGAUGGUGUUUUCAGGUUCCAGGUUGGAUGAUGUUUUCAGGUUCCAGGUUGGAUGGUGUUUCCAGGUUGGGUGGUGGUUCCAGGUUCCAGGUAGGAUGGUGUUUCCAGGUUCCAGGUUGGGUAGUGGUUCCAGGUUGGAUGGUGUUUCCAGGUUGGGUGGUGUUUCCAGGUUCCAGGUUGGGUGGUGUUUCCAGGUUCCAGGUUGGGUGGUGUUUCCAGGUUCCAGGUUGGGUGGUGGUUCCAGGUUGGGUGGUGUUUCCAGGUUCCAGGUUGGGUGGUGGUUCCAGGUUGGAUGGUGUUUCUAGGUUCCAGGUUGGGUGGUGGUUCCAGGUUCCAGGUUGGGUGGUGGUUCCAGGUUGGAUGGUGUUUCCAGGUUCCAGGUUGGGUGGUGUUUCCAGGUUCCAGGUUGGAUGGUGUUUUCAGGUUCCAGGUUGGGUGGUGUUUCCAGGUUGG